GAUGAACGCUGGCGGCGUGCCUAAUACAUGCAAGUCGAGCGAACGGACGAGAAGCUUGCUUCUCUGAUGUUAGCGGCGGACGGGUGAGUAACACGUGGAUAACCUACCUAUAAGACUGGGAUAACUUCGGGAAACCGGAGCUAAUACCGGAUGAUAUUUUGAACCGCAUGGUUCAAAAGUGAAAGACGGUCUUGCUGUCACUUAUAGAUGGAUCCGCGCUGCAUUAGCUAGUUGGUAAGGUAACGGCUUACCAAGGCAACGAUGCAUAGCCGACCUGAGAGGGUGAUCGGCCACACUGGAACUGAGACAUGGUCCAGACUCCUACGGGAGGCAGCAGUAGGGAAUCUUCCGCAAUGGGCGAAAGCCUGACGGAGCAACGCCGCGGGAGUGAUGAAGGUCUGCGGAUCGUAAAACUCUGUUAUUAGGGAAGAACAUAUGUGUAAGUAACUGUGCAGAUCUUGACGGUACCUAAGCAGAAAGCCACGGCUAACUACGU
rnacentral:rRNA from 1 species